GGGCGGCUGGUCCAACGGGAAGACGCCUGGUUUGCACCCAGGAGAUCGGGGUUCGAUUCCCCGGCCGGUCCA
rnacentral:tRNA from 2 species